rnacentral:lncRNA from 1 species
AAGCUUUCUUACUCUGAACUUCUCUCUUAAGGCAUAGGUGUCAGUUAGUCUUAGGAUUUCUUCUUCACUUAUCUUGCUCAACAUGUUUUUUUGGUCAUUUAUUAAAUAUGUACUCCCUCCUUUGAUCACCUUUGUUUUAAUCCCAAGUCGGUUGGCAAUUGCCAUCGAGAUAUAAUUUUUCAUAAAAUUGCAAUCCACAAGAAUUCUACAUGGCUAUCUUCUUACUCAAUCCAUUAGACACAUCAAUCAAUUCUUCUAAUAGUUGUCUAAGGCUAUGCCAUUUGUCUCUGAGAAACUGUCAUGGACACAAAAUACAGACUUGAAAUCUAACAAGAAGUUCAAGAAGAAGUGGCAGAACUAGAUUAAAUAAAUGAGUACAAGAACAACACCAAAAAGGUGAACUAGAACUCCAAGAGAU